CAUAGCAGUGAGGAAUAUUGGUCAAUAGCCUAACGGCUGAACCAGCAACUUGGACGAAUGAAAUGUAGUAAUUAGCUACAGUAGUAACUCUGUUACAUAAAAUUCUAGAUAAGUGUUUGAUAAUGACAUUACUUAUCUAUAAGUCUUGACUAAGUCACGUGCCAGCAGUCGCGGUAACACGUGGAAGACAAGUGUUAUUCAUCUUUAACAGGUUUAUAGGGUACCUAGACAGCUAACCAAACCUACUUCAGGGACUAGUUAAGCUAGAGUUUUAUAGGAGGAGGUUAGAAAGGUAGGUGGAGAGAUGAAAUUCUUUGAUACCACUGUAACUGACAACGGCGAAGGCAACCUCUUAUGUAAAAACUGACGUUGAGGGACGAAGGCCGAAUAAGGAAACAGGAUUAGAUACCCAAGUACCCAAGGCAGUAAAUUAUGAGUGUCAUAGGUAAGUAUUUAAAUAUAUAAAUUAUUUAUUAUUUACGUAUAAAUGAAAGUGUAAGCACUCCACCUUAAGAGUAAUAUGGCAACAUAGGAACUGAAAUCAUUAGACCGUUUCUGAAACCAGUAGUGAAGUAUGUUGUUUAAUUUGAUGACCCACAAAGAACCUUACCACAUUUGAAUAAAUUUCUCAAACGGGAAAUUUACAGGAGUUGCACGGCUGUCUUCAGUUGAUAUCGUGAGAUUUUGGUUAGUUCCAUUCAAUCAACGUAAACCCUUACUUUAUUUAUUACAGAUAGAGUAGUUCGCCGCUAUAUUGGUUAGAUAAAAGGGACUAAGACAAGUCAUCAUGACCUAAAUAUUGUGGGC
rnacentral:rRNA from 1 species